CAGCCGCCGCGGUAAUACGAAGGGGGCUAGCGUUGUUCGGAAUUACUGGGCGUAAAGCGCACGUAGGCGGAUAUUUAAGUCAGGGGUGAAAUCCCGCAGCUCAACUGCGGAACUGCCUUUGAUACUGGGUAUCUUGAGUAUGGAAGAGGUUAGUGGAAUUGCGAGUGUAGAGGUGAAAUUUGUAGAUAUUCGCAGGAACACCAGUGGCGAAGGCGGCUAACUGGUCCAUAACUGACGCUGAGGUGCGAAAGCGUGGGGAGCAAACAGGAUUAGAUACCCCAGUAGUCCCUGUCUCUUAUAC
rnacentral:rRNA from 1 species